CUGCUGGGGUUGGCUAUGUUGGACAGAGUUUAGCUGGAGAGGCAGGAAGGCACUGUGGGGAGGUCCCUGUCCCAGGUCCCCCCCCCACCGGGAGCCUUUAACACUCAGGAGGACUGGACUCCCCGGCUCUAGGCGGCCUUAAGCCCUGUUGGCUUCUUACUUUUUCCAGUACCCUCAGGGGUCCCUCAUCCUGAACGUUCCUGUUUCCUAUCCUUACUGUUGCUAAAUCACGGCUGACAUUUUCCUGGCCUGGGACUGAGGCCUCAGAUCUUCAGCCAUUCCUUACAGGAAGUAAAAAGGGGAAGAGGAUAAGGAAAAGUGACCUCUCCAGAGGGAGACACUGGCCUGCGGGGGGUGGAGGUGGGGUGCAGUGGGCCAGUGCCAGUCCUGACAGCCCCCGGUCAAGCACCUUCCCCUGGGGCACCCCUUCCUUCCCUCCCCACAGCGUCCCCCCGCCCAGGAAAGGCCAGCAAAGCUUCCUUCCUUCCUCUAAGAAGCACUUCUAUCUAGGGCAGGCUCAUCCCCGGUGGCCACACAAUGGCCCUUAUCAGCUGUGGAGUCAGGCGCAGAGACCCAGUGCACACCAAGUCUCACACAUUUCCUGUUUCCACCCAGCGGGUCAGGGCUGGGCCCAGAGGGGCCAUAUCCUGACUGGGGCCAAGAGGAGGCAAAACACUCCCCCUUCCCCUUCCCAGCCUCUCAAUCACUGCUGGACUCACUCCUCCCAGGCCCAGAGGGGCCCCCCGACAGGAGGCAGGGAUAGGGGUGUGUGAAGACUUAAGGAGGAAGGGCAGAGAUGGGCACACAGACAAGGAUGUUCCACGAGCAGCAGGUGGAGGCAGUGGUCCCUGAGAUGGAGCGCCGGGGCUACAUGGAUCAGAAUAAGGAGAUAGACAACCAGGAUUCCUACGUGGGGAGAAGUGUAGCUUGGAUUCAAGUCCAGGUCUUGAUCUCAUCCCUGUGUUUCUGGUCCUGCAUGACACCACAGCUGCCUGUGUAACUUGGGAUGGACCACACCACCACUCUGAGCUGUGGCUGCCGUCUGCCAAAUGACAGGUGCCGCGUGGCAGCGGCCACGAGGCUUCUGCAUGUGAGGUGGAGAAGUCGAGACUCAGUAGGGAAGGAACUUUCCCGAAGUCACAGAAUGACUGAGUGGUGAAGUCAGGAUUCAAGGCCAGGCAGCGUGACCAGAUGGCACAAACUCUUCAUGACCAGGCCACCCCCUCUCCUUAUCCGUAAAAUGAAGGUAAUAAUAGUUACCUCACAGGUCUGCUGACACGAUUAAGUAAGAUAAAGCACACACAAAAUCUUUAGCACCGUGCCUGGUACAAAAUAAGCUCUCUGUAAUCACUGGCUAUUGUGACUCUUUGUUCUCUAGAGUUAACUGAGACCCCUCUGGCCAGUUCUUUGCUUACUGGCUUCUCUGCGGAGCCCUGAGGCUGUACAGCCCUGGGAGAUAGGAGUGAUUUCCUUCCCUAGGUAACUACGGUUGUCUCAAGACAGGCGAGCCGCGCCCAGGGAGCUACAGGGCUGUUCUCAAAGAUCGGCAGUUCUCUAAGACCAGGCCUUGCCCUCCAAGGAUGGGGCGGGGCCCAAGUCCUGGAAUGGGGGUGUGGGCAGUUGCUGUUCCGGGUUCUUCCCCCUUGAUUUUAAAAGAACCCAGAACAGUAAAGCCUAGGCAUAUGGUUCCUGCUCUAAAACCCUUCAGGAGUCUUCACUGCCUCCAGAAUAAAGUUCUAGUCCCCAAGCACGGUUUUCCAGGAGCCUGACACCACUGUCCUACACCCGCCUACCAGGGACUCUCUGGCCUCCGGACCUUUACUCUUGCAGUCUGUGCUGCCUGGAACACCCAUCUUCACAGAGAGAGGCCCAGUGGCAAUGCUGCCUUUGUCAGAAAGCCGUCUUUGAGCUCUACUUUCUGCUUCCAAAGCAUUUUGCACCAGUGUUUUCCCUAUGUUAUGCAGUGCUGUCGUUUUCAGUUGGCAUACUGGUCUGUGUGUGAGCCUGGAAGGCAAGCACUGGCUCUCGAGAUGUCCUGCGCAGCCUCAGCCUUAGUACAGAGCCGGCGCUUAGCCAGCCUGACUGCUCAUGGAACCUAAACUCAGGAAAACCCCAAACUCAACCUCUCUCCUCAGAAAUGCCCAUCUAAUCCUAACAUACACACUUUAAGAUGCUGAUAACCAGGUUGCAAGUCUACUUUUGUCUUCUGUUUGAUUCACUUACUAUUUUAUUUUAUUUAAAGAUCUUAUUUAUUUGACAGACGGCGCGUGCAAGCAGGGGGAGCAGCGGAGGGAGAGGGAGAAGCAGUCUCCCCGCUGAACAGGGAGUCUGAUGCAGGGCUGAAUCUGAGGACCCUGGGAUCAUGACCUGAGCCAUGCAGUGUCACAUGGACUGUCCUGAUCCUCUCGGCCCUGCAAGACUGUUACAGGUCACAUUCUCCCUCCACUACAAGACACUGAAGUUCAGAGGUCACUCUGUCCAGGCAGAAGUCAGAUGCUUUCCUAGGUCUAUGAAGUCCAUGCUCCUUCCACUGCACUCCAACGUGGCCAAUUCCCAGCAGUGAACUGUCUCUUCAAAUGCCUUACCAGAACCAGACUUCACUUAGGAUUUUUGGCUGAAUGGUUGUGACUGAGUACAACAAUUGUUUCUGGAGGAGGCAAGCAAGCCUGGGGAUGGAAAAGACAACAGGGAUCGAAGAGAGCUGGUGCCCAGUGCAGGACCAUGGUAAGUCGAAGGCCUUGCUCCCUAUCUUAAUGGACACCCAGCAGCUCCUCCAGGGGAAGACCAGGCCCCGGGUGCAAAGCCCUGUUAAACUCAUCCCCACCUGGGAACAAAGACUUCAGAGGCCUGGAAAUGGAGAACAGGCGGCUGAGGGACCUGAGUGGUGCCCCCCACCUUUGAUGCUGGACUUCCACAAUAGGCUCAGAUCACCCCUCGGGAGCUUUCCCUCACUUGAUACCUGAUCCUUCUCCCACAGGUCACUGUAACGCCGAUUUUUUAUGGAUUCCCGGACAAAAUGUAGCCCAAAGUCAUCAAUCCGGAAGUUCAUGUCUCCAAACCACAGAAUGAGGCUGCAGAGAGAAAAGAAGGCAGCUUAGGGUUGUGACAAGGCCAAGGAAGUCCCUGCCUAGCCCUGAGGUCGACGGUGUCUCAGCUCCAGGCUCAGCAUUUACUCCCGAGCUGCCGAGUGAUGCGUUCUACCGAGCGCACUGCCUCUUCCUGGGCUUGGGGUGCGGAAGGGAGGCCGAGAAGACAAGGCUGCCAGGGCACUCUGCUAUCAGGAAGGCAUCGACCUUCCAGUCCUAGCACCAUGCAGCCUAGGGACUCCUCUCACCAUGCUCUAUGGGUUCGUAGGGCACUCCAGGCUGCCAUCCCUAUGCACCAGGGGCUCAGAGAGGGAUGGCACGAUGUAGGAUAGUGGCUAAGGGCACUGGCUUUGUUGGAAGUUAGCCAGAUCUGGGUUCAGAUCCCACUUGGGCUCCUAGCAUUUGCUGUUGGGCCCAGUCUCAGUCUAUUUGCUCAUUGAAAAACCA